UGGCCCCUUCCUGCGAAUGUGAAUAUAUUCGUUUCCUCAGGGUAAUGACUUGAGGUCAUCAUGGGGUGACACUGCCCCAGUGUCCAGGUGCAAGUGGAGCAGAUUGAGGGAGAGAGACACUCACCUCGGCUCCAGCCCCAUCCUCACCCGCCAGCAGCUCGUCUGCCUGAGUUAAGCAGUGUGACAUCACACACACGCUGCAACCAAACCUCAGCAACAGCUGCUACUGUACAUGAACUCCACCUUGCAGUGUCUGUUGGACUUGAAAGCCUUCUUCCAGGACUUCUGCAAGCUUGCAUUCUCUUCAAGUGCCCUCACACACACACACACCACACACUUGGAAGCCUUGCAUCUUGCGACUUUGCAAUUCUGCUUAUUGCCACAUGCUCUCCUUAUGCACACACAUUAUUUAACGCAACAGUUUUUCUGACAACUAUCGGUAGAGUUGAAACGCGAUGGAAACACAUUGAACUUUAGAUUUGUAUUCGGUACAUGAAAACAUAAGUGAAAAAGUAUGUUUUGUGUGCACUAACGUCAUCGCACUGAUUUUUAUCUGCAACAAGUGAGUUUAGAGGAAACACCACUGGUGGUAAAAUAUGAAUAUUUUCUUUAUGCAGAUUUUUGAAUAUUCGCAUGAAAAUCUGUCACCAAUUGGAUGGAAACCUAGCUACUAACACUCUUUUUUUUUACUGGCACUAAUUAUACUGUUAGCUGCUUUGUUGAGGAAAAUGUUACUUGCUAUGAUAUAUGGUUGUUUUACCUACCUUAGCUUAGGGCUGGGCUGGGCCGUAUACCAUAUUUUACUAUAUACCGGUAUUGAUGCACGGACCGGUUUGGGUUUUUACUUUACCUUCUACAACAGUAUUUGAAUGUUUGGUUCGUUAAAUGUGAUAUGCCAUGUGUAACGCCCAUUUUUAUCAUUUACUCUGCUACUUGAGUCAUCUCUUUCAUCUCUCCCUCUCUCUCUCUCUCCCUCUCUCCAUGCCGCUUUUCACACAGACCUAGCCUUGCCCCCUGUCACUCAAGGAGCGCAUUUGUUGUUGCUCGACCACAAGACACUUGCGUUCAGUCUGCAUAGUCAAUGCAACACCUGCAACAAUGUUGAUGACAACGAUGCUGUUUCCACUUUGCGUCUUAAUAUAAAUCCACAAGCAUUCUAUAAUUACACUAUUAGGUUGUGUUUCUUACGAUGGAUGGGACCUACACCUGUCUGGUGGAGACCCAAUUCGGGUUCCAAAUGCUCAGCACCAGGAUCUGCUGCAGGGUGGGUCCAAGUACAUGCUGGUCAGUCUACUGAGCCACAUCUGCUCCUCUACAUCCUCAGGUAAGAUACACACCCUACACACACAGAAACACUUGUGGGCAGGGGCGGAGCCAGACGGCAGUUUGAUGCUGAUUGACAUCUCAUUUCACCUCUUGUUGAAAGAAGCAUUUAUUUUGAUGUUGGCGGCGCAUUUUUCAAAUCGAGGACAAGGAAGAGAAUAUUAACGUUGGUUGCGAGACACAGAAGAAUAAGAAUAAGAAGAACAUACAGAAGAAGAGAGAAUAUUUCCACAGCUCCACGAGCUCUUUUCGCGAUUGCUGAAAGCAUCAUAUUUGAAGUAAGUUCUAAGGUUUAGCAUCGGGUUUAGGUUUCCUGAACGUGUAAGUUAACGUUAGACCUUUGGCUCCAUUAACAGACAGUUAGUCAGAUAAGAGAGAUCGGUUCCCAAUUUAGCCUAACAUUAUGUUUACAUCUGUGCUAGUAAUACACACAUAUUUAGUGCAGUGUCGUAAGUUACAGUAUACAAAUAUUUGCGAAUGUGGGGUAACUAGUAGGCUACAGCUGUCAGUGUUCAGCAAGUUAACCUGUUAGGGCUAGCGGGCAGUAUUGACACGGCUGGAUAAAAAACGUACCCGAUUUAAUCUGGUUACUACUCCUGCCCAGUAACUAGAAUAUGCAUAUAAUUAUUGGCUUUGGAUAGAAAACACCCUAAAGUUUCUAAAACUGUUUGAAUGGUGUCUGUGAGUAUAACAGAACUCCUAUGGCAGGCCAAAACCUGAGAAGAUUUCAAGCAGGAAGUGGCCUGUCUGAGAAGUAGUGUUUCAUCUUGGCUCUUUUUAUUGAAGACUCAGGAUCUGUGCAAUAACGUGACACUUCCUACGUCUUCCAUAGGGUCUCAGAGCCCGGGAAAAAGUUGAACGAUAUCGAGGCAGGCUCUAGCUGAAACACAUUAUCGCUUUUGGCAAGUGGCCACUCAGAGUACUAUGGGCUUAGGCGCGUGCCCGCUUCGUCCGAAUGCUUUCUUUCCUUUGUCUGUUUAUCUAAACGCAGAUUCCCGGUCGGAAUAUUAUCGCUUUUUUUAUGAGAAAAAUUGCAUAAAAAUGGAUUUUAAACAGCGGUUGACAUGCUUCGAAGUACGG
rnacentral:lncRNA from 8 species